GUGAGGAAUAUUGGUCAAUGGGCGAGAGCCUGAACCAGCCAAGUCGCGUGAAGGAUGAAGGAUCUAUGGUUUGUAAACUUCUUUUAUAUGGGAAUAAAGUGAGGAACGUGUUCCUUUUUGUAUGUACCAUAUGAAUAAGCAUCGGCUAACUCCGUGCCAGCAGCCGCGGUAAUACGGAGGAUGCGAGCGUUAUCCGGAUUUAUUGGGUUUAAAGGGUGCGUAGGUGGUUAAUUAAGUCAGCGGUGAAAGUUUGUGGCUCAACCAUAAAAUUGCCGUUGAAACUGGUUGACUUGAGUAUAUUUGAGGUAGGCGGAAUGCGUGGUGUAGCGGUGAAAUGCAUAGAUAUCACGCAGAACUCCGAUUGCGAAGGCAGCUUACUAAACUAUAACUGACACUGAAGCACGAAAGCGUGGGGAUCAAACAGGAUUAGAAACCCUAGUAGUCC
rnacentral:rRNA from 1 species